UACGUAGGGUGCGAGCGUUGUCCGGAAUUAUUGGGCGUAAAGGGCUCGUAGGCGGUUUGUCGCGUCGGGAGUGAAAUCCACUGGCUUAACUGGUGGCUUGCUUUCGAUACGGUCAGACUGGAGGUAUGCAGGGGAGAACGGAAUUCCUGGUGUAGCGGUGAAAUGCGCAGAUAUCAGGAGGAACACCGGUGGCGAAGGCGGUUCUCUGGGCAUGUCCUGACGCUGAGGAGCGAAAGCGUGGGGAGCGAACAGG
rnacentral:rRNA from 1 species